CAGUAGCCGCGGUAAUACGUAGGGGGCGAGCGUUGUCCGAAGUUACUGGGCGUAAAGAGCGCGUAGGCUGGUCUUUAAGUGAGUGGUGAAAGGUUCGGGCUCAACCCGGACACUGCCUUUCAUACUGGGGACCUUGAGUGUGGGAGAGGCGAGUGGAAUGGUCGGUGUAGCGGUGAAAUGCGUAGAUAUCGAUCGGAACACCCAUGGCGAAGGCAGCUCGCUGGCCUAACACUGACGCUGAGGCGCGAAAGCGUGGGGAGCAAACAGGAUUAGAUACCCCCGUAGUCCCUGUCUCUUAUAC
rnacentral:rRNA from 1 species